CAGAUAUUUUUCCUAUAUUGAAAUUAACAAUCACUAUCAUUGUUCACCUCCAUCUUUAGUCAUUAUUAUCAAUAUAAUUGAAUAUCACUUGUUUCACUCUUAAUCACAGUUAUCUAUCAUACCUCUAUAUAGAACAAAUACCAAUGGUAAUAUGAAUACACUCUGAUAGUUGUCUUCAUCAGCACUAUCAGCAGCGCUAGUGUUCAUACAGGCAUCAGCAGCAGCGACAUUAUCUCAUUAUUUACAGAUUAAAAUAUAUAAUGUUUGUCUGAUUCAAAUUGCAUUUACUUUCAAUGCAAAUACAAG
rnacentral:lncRNA from 1 species